UUAAUUGAAACCAAAAAGAGGUAAAUUAUUGUUAAUAAUUUUAUUGAAUUCAAUAUUCCAAUUAAA
rnacentral:tRNA from 1 species